rnacentral:lncRNA from 1 species
UUGUUAUUAUAUUAAACUAAUUUAAUAAAAGAAAUAAAAGAUAGAAAAAGAGAAAUGGAAACAGAACAGGCAAACGAAAACAGGGGAGAAAGGAAAGAAAAAGAAAAAGGGAAGGAAAGAAAGAAAAUUUGGGGUUUCAAGGUUUCAAGCUCAAUUGAUAAGUCAAAUUAAGUUAUUUUCUUAUAAUUUUUGAGUUUUUGGAGUUCUAGAACAAAAUAUUUCAUGGUUUAUGUUGAAAUUUGGGAAGAUGUUAUAUUUCUAGACAUUGAUUAUGUUGAAUAAAUGAAAGAAUUAGGGGUUAAAUUGAUUGAAUUUCAAGUUAGAAGUUAGUAAAGGAUUUAAUUGUAAAAUAAAGUGUAAGUUUUGAAUAGUAGGGACUAAAUUGAAAGAAUCCCUAAAUUAGAGAUUUAUGGUGAAAAUGAAGAGUUAAAAUGAGUUUUUAGUAAGAAUUAAGAGAGAAUAUGGAGUUAGAUUGGGAAAAUAAAAUUAGUAUUGAUAAGGGAUUAAAUUAGAAUUUAGGUAAAGCUUAGGUAUAAAUGGAAAUGUUUUGAUGAAAUUGUGUUUUAAUAAUUUUUAAUUGUUUAAUUACGUAGCUAAUGUCGUGCAAGAGUCAUUGCCAAGAAAGGAAAGGGGAAGGUGAUCAAGGAGUGACUUUUGAAAAUUUACGGUUAGUAUUACCAUAAUUUGAAUUUAAUUAUUAAUUGUUAAAAUUUAAAUUAAUAUACAUGAUAAGAAAAUUGAGGUGAGUAUCAUGAUUGAAUCGAAUGAAAUAUAUAUAUAUAUAUAUAUAUAUAUACAUAUUGAUAUUGAAUUUAUUGAUAGUAAUUGUUGAAUUUUGAAUAAUAUGUUUAGUAAAUAAAAAUAAGGAGAAUAUCGAUAUUUAAUUGAAUGAAUUAAAAAUAUGAAUUGAAUAAAAGUGAAUUAAAUUAUGAAUAAGUGUGAAUACGUGAAUUGAGUAUUGACUGAAAAGUGGUUUGAUUCGAAUCGAGGUAUGAUUUGUGAAAUAUGUAUUGGUGCUGAAUUGUAUAUUGAUUUGAAAGUGGGAAGUGAAUUUGAAAUAGAAAAAUAUAUUGAAUCAAAUGGUGAUUAAAUUGUAUAAUGAUUUGAAUUGAAAGUAUGAGAAAGUGAUUGAAUUGAAAUGUGAUUCGGAAACCCUAUUAACUAGUCGGGCUGAGUCGGAUAUAGUUGGCAUGCCAUAGGAUUGGAAGUGUUCAGGGAUACUUCGACCUUGAGUCGAUGAGACACUGGGUGUCAUACUGUUACUUCGGAUAGAUUCGAUGAGGUACUGGGUACCAACUUACUUCGGCUUUGCCGAUGAGACACUGGGUGUCAACUAUUGCUUCGAACUAUCCGAUGAGGCACUGGGUGCCGUACUGGUGUGUUUGGUUGGAUCCGUGUAUCCGCCAAAGUCCGAGUCAUGUAAUAGGGGGAAAAUANNNNNNNNNNNNNNNNNNNNNNNNNNNNNNNNNNNNNNNNNNNNNNNNNNNNNNNNNNNNNNNNNNNNNNNNNNNNNNNNNNNNNNNNNNNNNNNNNNNNNNNNNNNNNACGCGUAGCAUUCUCCCUUACUAUAAAUGUGAGAAUUAUGGUUCAAGAAACAAAUAAUGAUAAAUUUUAUGAAAUAGUUUUUGGUAAUAUGAAAUGAUGUAAAAAUGACAAGUGAAAAUAAAAUGAUUUGAAAUAGUGAAAUAAUAUGUGAAUUUAAUUGAAUAAAAGUUAUUAAAUUUUAUUUAUGGAUUUAAUGUGUAAAUUGAGUGUUAAAAGAUUAUAAGUGUAAAAUUGAAUAUAAAUAGAAAUGAUAAUGAAUGAGUUGAUGAAAUGAUUGAGUUUGUAUGGAUUGGAAUGAGUUAUUAGAAUGAGAUGUUGAAAAAUCCAAUAAAAUUUAGAUAGUGAAACAAGGUAUGAAUACAAUUAAAUAUAAGAUUGAAAUAUUGCUUAUUGUUAUUAAUGAUCAAGUUGAUUUAAAGUAUGAGGCAAUUAACGAAUAAUUGUAGACAUAAAUUAAAUGUAUAUAAAUUAUCGAUUAAAGUUAUUAAUUUGAAUUAUGGUAAUACCACUGAGUAUUCCCAUACUCAGCGUACGGUUGUUUCCGUGCGCAGGUUAAUAGAAAACCAGUGUUCGGUCCAGCAUCCAGAGUAAUCCCGACCUCAGAGAAAUUUAGCGAUGUAUUUUUCUUUUGAUAACGUGGCAUGUACCUAAGUAAUGUUUAUACCUAAGUGAUGUAUAGGGAUUAGUCAAUUUGAAUGUUUGUAUCUAUGAUAUUGCUAAAGGAAGAUGUGUGAGUAUGUGAUAAUGUUUGGCUUUUAAAAUGGUUAAGUAUGAAUAUGUUUGGUAAUA